rnacentral:rRNA from 1 species
CCUACGGGAGGCAGCAGUGGGGAAUAUUGCGCAAUGGGCGAAAGCCUGACGCAGCGACGCAGCGUGAGGGACGAAGGCCUUCGGGUUGUAAACCUCUUUCAGCGGGGACGAAGCGAAAGUGACGGUACCCGCAGAAGAAGCACCGGCUAACUACGUGCCAGCAGCCGCGGUAAUACGUAGGGUGCAAGCAUUGUCCGGAUUUAUUGGGCGUAAAGAGCUCGUAGGCGGCUUGUCACGUCGGAUGUGAAAACUCGGGGCUCAACCCCGAGCCUGCAUUCGAUACGGGCUAGCUAGAGUGUUGCAGGGGAGACUGGAAUUCCUGGUGUAGCGGUGAAAUGCGCAGAUAUCAGGAGGAACACCGGUGGCGAAGGCGGGUCUCUGGGCAACUACUGACGCUGAGGAGCGAAAGCGUGGGGAGCGGAACAGGAUUAGACUACCCGUGGUACGUCCGACGACCGUAACGGUAGGGUCGCGUAGGUGUGGGUACCGUACCGUACGUUCGUCUGUGCGUAGCUACGCAUAGCGCCCGCCGUCGGAGGUACGGCCGCGACGACGUAACGUACAACUAGAGUAGACGCGUGAGACGNGCCGACGGACGACGACGAGGGAGUAGG